CUCGCUGCGGGCGCGGUGCGCAUGCGCAGGCCCGGCCGGCGGGACGUUGACAAGGCCCUCAUGCUACCUGCGCAUGCGCACCGCCUUCCCGCCAUCCGGUUGUCAUGGAGCUCGUUCCCGCCCCCCUCCCCCCUCCAUUCCCCUCAUGGGGCUGGGGAGCUCCUUCCGGCCCGGCGGCGGGGCCGAGGCGCUGCCUCUCGUCGCUCCCGGAGAACAGCCCCAGCCUCUCUCCGACGGGGUGGCGGUGUCGGCUGAGGAGAACCUAGCACGAAGCGGGCGGGCCGCGGCCACCAUGUCCCGCCUCACGGCCCCAGCGAGCCCGGCGAGGACGUAAAGUAAGAACAUGGAGGGAAGUCCUUGGCACCGCCUGUCACUGAGGCGAAUGGCCAGAACACCACCGAAACAGGAGAGCAUAUGGUUCUUGCUCAAGUUGCUGCACUGAUGGGAAUUAGGAGCCCUCAGAAGAAAAUCCUGCAAGAACUUGCAAGUGCCCAUUGCACAAACAGACUGAAAAUACUCCAGUUCUACCAGGGCACAAGAACAUCUCAUUGUACAAUGCCCUAAUCUGAACUCAGAAGCACUCAAAAGCCCAAGUGAACUGUGGUAUUCUCAGUGAAGAUACAUCCAAAAGCACUGGCACUUAAUGGUCCAUCCUGGCUACCAAAUGGGCAUCUGUUUCACAGGACAUUUCAAGGCCAUUCCUAAAGGCACCAAGGAUGUGGUUCCCUGGUCACAAUUUGUACCCAACAUCAUCUGGAGGAUGCAGCAACAGCGACAGCUGCAGUAAGGAGAAGCAGCCCUCCCAAAACCAGGCUGCUGAUCUGACUUGCACUCCCAAUUUUUUAAUAAUUCACUUUUCUUCCCCCCCUGCCCAACCCAGGGAACUGCUCUGUAUCAGAGAGGGCUCAGGGCUCCAGUGUUUUAGGCUCCAGAAUGAAAAUUUUGGUUUAAUUUAACGUGUAUUCACCCCUGAAUUACAGCACUUGGGACACACUGUGAGAGGCAGGAUAUUUACUGUCACCCUGGGGCUUUGGGUUGUCUCUGCAGAAAACAACCAUUAUGGGACUUGUGAACAUCACUGCUGACAUGAAAAGGUUUUCAAAAUAACUGCUAGAAUUGGCUGUGAAAUGGGGUUUAUAGUAAAUACUGUUAUCUACAUAUCUGUGAGCACACAGAAAUUACUUAUUGUGCAGCAUGUGCAUAUUCAUCCCCAGUGUGCUGCAGUCAUCAUUGCUCAAAAUUUCUGCCUCACUUUCUGCUCAGUUUAAGAGCAGAUCCCCUGCUUUCUGUUAAGACUUGUAACAUGGUGGCUUUUUGGCAUCUUCAGAUCAACUUUUUGAAGCUUUUCAUACAAAUUGAUUCGAUCCAGGUCAGCAGUGAUCAGAGAAGCAGCCACUGAGGCAGGUUUGGGUUUGCAUCAAUUUGUGGUGUUAAUCUCCCUUCUGAAUGACAGCUCAGUGCAAACUCAGCACAGAGACUUGAAAGGGCCAAACAAAGAAAAAUGCAGCAUUUUCCUCAAAAGCAGCUUGGCUUGUUUUCCUCUCAGGUGUGAAUUUUGGGAUGGUACAGGCCACUGUAUCCAUCUCCUCUUGUAAGCCUGCCAGGAAAACAAGCCUGUUUCCAUUCAGUAACUCCCAUGGCACGAGUUUGAGUGGUAUAAACUGAAAUCCAUCUGGUUCUCCUGGGCAGUGAAAUGAAUUAUCAUUUCCAAGAAGAAUCACCAUCAUUCAGCCAGGGCACUGGGCAUUAAAGAAUCUUUAAACACAUUAAAAAUACAGUUCCCAUCUAAAAACCCUAAUCCCUGUCCUUUGAUUUCCUGAAGCAUGCUGCAAGAUAACUUUGAACACUUGUUUUAUAAAAUACCUGCUAAACUACUUGGGACAGAACAGGUCCAGGGGUUGAGAAACAAAACUGCAGCUGAAUCUCCCCUGCCUCCUGCCACAGCUCUGACUUCCUCGGUUUCAAAGGAUUUAAUGUGGCACAGUUCCAUGAAGGACUGGUUUAUUGAUCUAGUUCUGGACUGGGUUUUAACCCCAGUUAGGCCUCAUUUACUUGGGCUGCAGAAGGAGAACAAGCUCUGCUUGGCUCCUCAGUCGGCUUCUGGAUUAACUGACCCCAAAUCCCCUGCAGAUCCUGUUGUGACAUUUGGAAUAACACUGGAUGGAUGUUUAAUGGACAACUCAUUACAAUACCUUUUGCCAUGUGGAUUUAAAAAGAUCAGGAAACUGCUUCUUUCCCUAAUUUUUCAUCUUUCUUGCUGCUGUAAAUAGAUUUAACAAUGAGAUCAUCAGGAGUCUUUGCGAAUUUGGGUACUUACUGAAGCUUUUGGUCCCUGUGCUCCUGCCAGCUCUUCCAUUUCAGCCAGGACUUAAUAGCAGACUUUACUUAUUCCCACUUGUUUGCAUGUCAAACCAGUUCCAGGAGGGAUGUGAUGGAAAGGAUUUUGUUAUUAUAGAUUAAAUUCUUGCUAGAAGGAGCUCCAACACCAAGGAACACUGUUUAUUCUGGGAGAAUGAGUGUCCAGGCAGAGAAAAUCCUCCCCUGGCCCGGGCUGCAUUGAACUACAGCAUCAGCCAUGGGAAGAUGCAGGUGAAGUGUAAAGAGAGAGGUAACAAAGAAACAAAAGAUGAUUCUGAGAACAGAGGAAGAACAAAUGACCUUUUUUUCCCUUCCUCCUGAUGAAAGAAGAGAAAAACCCAUGUUUUACUCACUCCAGAAGCAUCAGUAGACACGGAAUCAUCAUCCAGAGUCCAGCUUUAGAGCAACUUGCCUGUGUUCCUAUGAGCACUUCGGUUUGUGUUCAUCAACAUGAUGCCAUACAUCCACCUUCUCCCACCAGGAUCUGCUCUGUUAGCCAGGAAUAUCAUUCCUCACUCACCAGCAUUCCCUGCAGGCGUUCGCAGAAUAAAAGGAAAAGCUGAGUCCCAGAGGUGAGGAUCCGGUGGCUCAGACAAAGCAGCGAUAGAACAUGUGAGAUUUGGGCCAAAGCAACCUCCUGAUGCUGCUGCUGUGGCUCCUUCCAGCAUCACCACCUCUUCCCAUGUUUUAUGGGCACAGGGACAGAGGAUAAGUAUGCACUCCAGUGACAGACAUCUUAUUUGACAUUUUAGUCACAAAUCCCUUGUGGCAAAAAAUGAGCACCUGAAGGGCUGCUGGGAUUCCUGAGGGUUCACAGGAUGGGGAGGUUAAAGAUGUGUCAGGCAGUUAAUGGCCAGUUCCAAGCACACUGUGCUUCUCAGUGCAGCAAAGGUUACAAACCAGCACCCAGCCUCAGCUCAUUGUAUCAACACUCCUAUUUUUAGGCACUUUAUCAGGUGUGCAGCUUGCAGGGCACCACAUUCACCUGCUGUGCUGCUCGCAGCACAAAUCACCAAAGGUUUAAAUUGCUUCAGUCUGUGUUACAACCACAGAAUCAUUUGGGUUGGAAAAGAUCUCAAGUCCAGCCACUAAUGCAGCACUACCCCAUGUCCCAAGUGCCACAUCCACAUGGCUUUUGAAUCUCUCCAGGGAUGGUGACUCCACCACUGCCCCGGGCAGCUGUGCCAGUGUCUGACCACCCUUUCAGUGACAAAUUUUUCCCAAUAUCUGAUCUGAACCUGUCUUGGCACAACUUGAGGCCAUUUCCUCUCAUCCUGUCCCUGUUCCCUGGGAGCAGAACCUGACCCCCACCUGGCUGGCCCCUCCUGUCAGGAAGUUAUGCAGAACCAGAAGGUUCCCACUGAGCCUCCUUUCCUCCCCAGCUUGCUCAGCUGCUCCUGGUGAGGAGCUCUGUUCUCUGUGGACAUGCUCCAGCCCCUCAGUGUCUUUCUUGCUUGGAGGGGACCAGGACUGCCCCCAGGACUGGAGGUGCCUCAGCAAUGCCCAGGGGGACAGUCACUGCCCUGAUCCUGCUGGCCACAAUGUUCCUGACAGAAUGUAUCACCCGCUGUAGGAUGGAGAAGGCGACUGCUUGACUGUCUCAGCACCCUCUAAACUGUCACUAUUUUUUUCCUCUUCUGUGUCUGAAUAAAAAUGAAAUGUAAGGUGAUUUAAUAAAACUUCUCAAAUGGUCCCCCAA